AGUGAACGCUGGCGGUAGGCCUAACACAUGCAAGUCGAACGGCAGCACAGUAAGAGCUUGCUCUUACGGGUGGCGAGUGGCGGACGGGUGAGGAAUACAUCGGAAUCUACUUUUUCGUGGGGGAUAACGUAGGGAAACUUACGCUAAUACCGCAUACGACCUACGGGGGAAAGCAGGGGAUCUUCGCACCUUGCGCGAAUGAAUGAGCCGAUGUCGGAUUAGCUAGUUGGCGGGGUAAAGGCCCACCAAGGCGACGAUCCGUAGCUGGUCUGAGAGGAUGAUAGGCCACACUGGAACUGAGACACGGUCCAGAGUCCUACGGGAGGCAGCAGUGGGGAAUAGUAGACAAUGGGCGCAAGCCUGAUCCAGCCAUACCGCGUGGGUGAAGAAGGCCUUCGGGUUGUAAAGCCCUUUUGUUGGGAAAGAAAAGCAGCAGGUUAAUACCCCGCUGUUCUGACGGUACCCAAAGAAUAAGCACCGGCUAACUUCGUG
rnacentral:rRNA from 1 species